rnacentral:rRNA from 1 species
AACGCGAAGAACCUUACCUACCCUUGACAUCCUGCGAAUCUGACUGAGAGGUUAGAGUGCCGAAAGGAACGCAGAGACAGGUGCUGCAUGGCUGUCGUCAGCUCGUGUUGUGAGAUGUUGGGUUAAGUCCCGUAACGAGCGCAACCCUUGUCCUUAGUUGCCAGCAUUUAGUUGGGGACUCUAAGGAGACUGCCGGUGAGGAACCGGAGGAAGGCGGGGACGACGUCAAGUCAUCAUGGCCUUUAUGGGUAGGGCUACACACGUGCUACAAUGGGGCGUACAGAGGGUAGCCAACCUGCGAAGGGGAGCCAAUCUCUUAAAGCGCCUCGUAGUCCGGAUUGGAGUCUGCAACUCGACUCCAUGAAGUUGGAAUCGCUAGUAAUCGCGAAUCAGCAACGUCGCGGUGAAUACGUUCCCGGGCCUUGUA